UACAGGGGGUGGCAAACGUUGCUCGGAAUCAUUGGGCGUAAAGCGCACGUAGGCGGUUCGUUAUGUCGGAUGUGAAGCCCUUGGCUUAACCGAGGAAGUGCAUCCGAAACUGGCGAGCUAGAGUACGAAAGAGGAUCGCGGAAUUCCCGGUGUAGAGGUGAAAUUCGUAGAUAUCGGGAGGAACACCGGUGGCGAAGGCGGCGAUCUGGGUCGAUACUGACGCUGAGGUGCGAAAGCGUGGGGAGCAAACAGGG
rnacentral:rRNA from 1 species